rnacentral:rRNA from 1 species
CCUACGGGUGGCAGCAGUGAGGAAUAUUGGUCAAUGGACGAGAGUCUGAACCAGCCAAGUAGCGUGAAGGAUGAAUGCCCUAUGGGUUGUAAACUUCUUUUAUAUGGGAAUAAACUGUUCCACGUGUGGGCUUUUGUAUGUACCAUAUGAAUAAGGAUCGGCUAACUCCGGUCCAGCAGCCGCGGUAAUACGGAGGAUCCGAGCGUUACCCGGAUUUAUUGGGUUUAAAGGGAGCGUAGGUGGAUUGUUAAGUCAGUUGUGAAAGUUUGGGGCUCAACCGUAAAAUUGCAGUUGAAACUGGCAGUCUUGAGUACAGUAGAGGUGGGCGGAAUUCGUGGUGUAGCGGUGAAAUGCUUAGAGAUCACGAAGAACUCCGAUUGCGAAGGCAGCUCACUGGACUGCAACUGACACUGAGGCUCGAAAGUGUGGGUAUCAAACAGGAUUAGAUACACGGGUAGUC